rnacentral:rRNA from 1 species
UAGUCAUAUGCUUGUCUCAAAGAUUAACCCUUGCAUGUCUAAGUAUAAGCAAUCUAUACAGUGAAACUGCGAAGGGCUCAUUAAAUCAGUUAUCGUUUAUUUGAUAGUACCUUACUACUUGGAUAACCGUGGUAAUUCUAGAGCUAAUACAUGCUAAAAACCCCGACUUCGGAAGGGGUGUAUUUAUUAAAUAAAAAACCAAUGCUCUUCGGGGCUCCUUGGUGAUUCAUAAUAACUUAACAAAUCGCAGGGCCUUGUGCCGGCGAUGGUUCAUUCAAAUUUCUGCCCUAUCAACUUUCGAUGGUAGGAUAGUGGCCUACCAUGGUUUCAACGGGUAACGGGGAAUUAGGGUUCUAUUCCGGAAAGGGAGCCUGAAAAACGGCUACCACAUCCAAGGAAGGCAGCAGGCGCGCAAAUUACCCAAUCCCGACACGGGGAGGUAGUGACAAUAAAUACUGAUACAGGGCUCUUUUGAGUCUUGUAAUUGGAAUGAGUACAAUUUAAAUCCCUUAACGAGGAACAAUU